rnacentral:rRNA from 1 species
CUGCUGUGAAAACUGGAGGCUCAACCUCCAGCCUGCAGUGGGUACGGGCAGACUAGAGUGCGGUAGGGGAGAUUGGAAUUCCUGGUGUAGCGGUGGAAUGCGCAGAUAUCAGGAGGAACACCGAUGGCGAAGGCAGAUCUCUGGGCCGUAACUGACGCUGAGGAGCGAAAGGGUGGGGAGCAAACAGGCUUAGAUACCCUGGUAGUCCACCCCGUAAACGUUGGGAACUAGUUGUGGGGGCCUUUCCACGGUCUCCGUGACGCAGCUAACGCAUUAAGUUCCCCGCCUGGGGAGUACGGCCGCAAGGCUAAAACUCAAAGGAAUUGACGGGGACCCGCACAAGCGGCGGAGCAUGCGGAUUAAUUCGAUGCAACGCGAAGAACCUUACCAAGGCUUGACAUAUACGAGAACGGGCUAGAAAUAGUCAACUCUUUGGACACUCGUAUACAGGUGGUGCAUGGUUGU